AUACUUACCUAGCCCGCUUCUCGAGGUGGUCAACAUGGCCUCGGUUGUAUGAUCGGUCUUCGCCUUAGCGAGGGCCUUUCGUAGUCGGCCCUUCGGGUGUCCGGCAGGGCUAAACUUUUGAAAGGCUGAGGAUCCGCGCAACGCGCGACCUCGGC
rnacentral:snRNA from 17 species